rnacentral:rRNA from 1 species
GCCGCGGACGCGAAGCCGGGUGAGCUAUCCGUGGGCAGGCUGAAGCGGGGGUAAGACCCCGUGGAGGGCCGAACGCACGUCGGUUGAAAACGGCGGCGAUGACCUGCGGAUAGGGGUGAAAGGCCAAUCAAACCCGGAGAUAUCUCGUUCUCCCCGAAAUAGCUUUAGGGCUAGCGUCGCGCGUUCACCGCCGGAGGUAGAGCACCGGAUGGACGAGGGGGCUUCGCCGCCUACCGAAUCCAACCGAACUCCGAAUGCCGGCGGCCCAGAGCGCGGCAGUCAGAGCAUGUGGGCUAAGCUGUGUGCUCGAGAGGGAAACAGCCCGGACCGCCCGCUAAGGUCCCCAAGUUCCAGCCGAGUGGCAAAGGAUGUGCGUCCGCCCAGACAACCAGGAUGUUGGCUUAGAAGCAGCCAUCCAUUCAAAGAGUGCGUAACAGCUCACUGGUCGAGUGGACAUGCGCCGACAAUACACGGGGCUAAGCUGGACACCGAAGCGGCGGGAUUUUGAUUUUCAGAAUCGGUAGGGGAGCUUCCCAUGGGCGGAGAAGCCGGAGGGCGACCGACGGUGGAGCGCAUGGGAGUGAGAAUGCUGGCAUGAGUAGCGAGAGACGAGAGAGUAACUCGUCCGCCGUGAACCCGAGGUUUCCUGGGCAAGGCUAAUCCUCCCAGGGUCAGUCGGGGGCUAAGGCGAGGCCGGGAGGCGUAGCCGACGCGCAGCAGGCAGACAUUCCUGCACCGCGCACGCGGCGCUACGACCGACGGGGCGACGGAUGGGGGUGGCUCGGCGGGGUUCUGGACGUCCCCGUGAUGGAGCGCGGCCCGCGGACCAGGGAAAUCCGGUCCGCAGAAGGGCGAGGCUCCGGACGAAGCACUUAAGCGAAGCGAGUGAGCCCGAGGUCCCUAGAAAAACCCCUAGGCAGGCGCGUGCGCGCCCGUACCGCAAACCGACACAGGUGGGUGGGUAGAACAUACCGAGGCGAUCGGGUCAACCAUGGUCAAGGAACUCGGCACAAUGGCCCCGUAACUUCGGGAGAAGGGGUGCCCGCGCGUACGUGAACCGGCUUGCCCGGGGAGCGGAGGCGGGCCGCAGUGGAGAGGCCCAAGCGACUGUUUACCAAAAACACAGGACUCUGCAGAAGCCGCAAGGCGACGUAUAGGGUCUGACGCCUGCCCGGUGCCGGAAGGUCACGCGGAGGAGUUAGCGCAUCGCGCGAAGCCCCGAAGCCAAGCCCCGGUAAACGGCGGCCGUAACUAUAACGGUCCUAAGGUAGCGAAAUUCCUUGUCGGGUAAGUUCCGACCUGCACGAAAGGCGCAACGACUUGGGCGCUGUCUCGACCAUGGACCCGGUGAAAUUGCACUGGUCGUGAAGAUGCGACUUACCCGCGGAAGGACGGAAAGACCCCGUGAACCUUCACUGCAGCUUGGCAUUGGCCGCUGGUCCCGCGUGUAGAGGAUAGGCAGGAGGCAUCGAUCCGGAGGCGCCAGCCCCCGGGGAGCCGCCCUUGGAAUACUGCCCUCGCGCGACCGGCGUCCUAACCCGAGGCCGUCAACCGGCUCGGGGACCGUGCCAGGCGGGCAGUUUGACUGGGGCGGUCGCCUCCUAAAGGGUAACGGAGGCGCGCGAAGGUCCGCUCGGGACGGUCGGCAACCGUCCUUUUGAAUGCAAGAGUACAAGCGGGCUUGACUGCGAGGCCCACAAGCCGAGCAGGUGCGAAAGCAGGCUCUAGUGAUCCGGCGGCCCCGAGUGGGUGGGCCGUCGCUCAACGGAUAAAAGGUACUCCGGGGAUAACAGGCUGAUCUUGCCCAAGAGUCCACAUCGACGGCAAGGUUUGGCACCUCGAUGUCGGCUCAUCGCAUCCUGGGGCUGGAGCAGGUCCCAAGGGUACGGCUGUUCGCCGUUUAAAGCGGUACGCGAGCUGGGUUCAGAACGUCGUGAGACAGUUCGGUCCCUAUC